UACGUAGGGGGCAAGCGUUGUCCGGAUUUAUUGGGCGUAAAGAGCGUGUAGGCGGCCAUACAGGUCCGUUGUGAAAACUGGAGGCUUAACCUCCAGACGUCGAUGGAAACCGUAUGGCUAGAGUCCGGAAGAGGAGAGUGGAAUUCCGUGGUGUAGCGGUGAAAUGCGCAGAUAUCGGGGAGGAACACCCUAUGGCGAAGGCAGCUCGCUGGGACGUUACUGACGCUGAGACGCGAAAGCGUGGGGAGCAAACAGG
rnacentral:rRNA from 1 species